UUGUCUUGCUUUUGAUGUAGGGUGUUGAUAUUUGGUCCUUUGGGUGCGUCCUCCUGGAGUUGUUAACGCUGCAACUUCCUUACUCAGAGUUAUCUGAAUUAGAUAUCCACAAUUCUCUUCAGGUGGGUAAUCGGCCACAACUACCUGAAGAACUAGAGGUAAUGGCCACAUCAUCCAAAGCAGAGCUGGAGGAUCUAGCAAAGACUUGUUCUGGCUCUGACCUAGACAAGCAGCAAUCUGAAUCUCAUAUCCUGAGAUUUCUCGUUUCUAUUUACCGUUGGUGUACCGAGAAGGAUCCAGACGACCGUCCCACAGCAGAGAACCUCUACAAUGUCUUGCUUACCUGUGCUAACUCUCUCCCUCUACAGAGUCAAGAAGAAGGAUCAAAGUCCAUCAGAUGAAAUUGAUCUUCCCCAAAAUUUUUGUAGCCUUAGGAUGUUGUAUACUAGCAUUAGAUUAUUUGGAGUUAGGACCCGUUGAGCAAUGUAACAUGUUCCUUAGCCUCGCUUCAAUUAGAGUACCUCACGGUCUUAUUCGAGACACUAUGAUACUUUUCUAUCAUUUUCCUAUUCCUUUUCCAGCUUGUAGUUCUAUAUACUUGUUGCCAUCUAAUGUAUUCCUUUUCCCAAUUGAUAAUUAUGAUAUUAUUCCAGUUUAUACUUC